CCUACGGGCGGCAGCAGUGGGGGAUAUUGCACAAUGGGGGAAACCCUGAUGCAGCGACGCCGCGUGAGUGAAGAAGUAUUUCGGUAUGUAAAGCUCUAUCAGCCGGGAAGAAAAUGAAAGUACCUGACCAAGAAGCCCCGGCUAACUACGUGCCAGCAGCCGCGGCAAUACGGAGGGAGCAGGCGUUAUCCGGAUUUACUGGGUGUAAAGGGAGCGUAGACGGUUAUGUAAGUCUGGCGUGAAAGCCCGGGGGCCCACCCCGGGACUGCCGUGGAAACUGUGUAACUGGAGUACAGGAGGGGCAUGCGGAAUUCCUGGUGUAGCGGUGAAAUGCGUAGAUAUUAGGAGGAACACCGGCGGCGAAGGCGGCCUGCUGGACUGAAACUGACGUUGAGGCUCGAAAGCGUGGGGAGCGAACAGGAUUAGAUACCCUAGUAGUC
rnacentral:rRNA from 1 species